rnacentral:SRP_RNA from 2 species
GCCGGGCAUGGUGGUGGGUGCCUGUAAUCCCAGCUACUCAGGAGGCUGAGGCAGGAGAAUUGCUUGAACCCAGGGGGCGGAGGUUGCAGUGAGCUGAGAUCGUGCCACUGCACUCCAGCCUGGGUGACAGAGCAAGACUCUGUCUCAA